UACGGGGGAUGCGAGCGUUAUCCGGAUUUAUUGGGUUUAAAGGGUGCGUAGGCGGAAUAUCAAGUCAGCGGUAAAAAUUCGGGGCUCAACCCCGUCGUGCCGUUGAAACUGAUGUUCUUGAGUGGGCGAGAAGUAUGCGGAAUGCGUGGUGUAGCGGUGAAAUGCAUAGAUAUCACGCAGAACUCCGAUUGCGAAGGCAGCAUACCGGCGCCCAACUGACGCUGAAGCACGAAAGCGUGGGUAUCGAACAGG
rnacentral:rRNA from 1 species